rnacentral:rRNA from 1 species
GUGAGUAACCUGCCCCUGACUCUGGGAUAAGCGUUGGAAACGACGUCUAAUACUGGAUAUGAUCACUGGCCGCAUGGUCUGGUGGUGGAAAGAUUUUUUGGUUGGGGAUGGACUCGCGGCCUAUCAGCUUGUUGGUGAGGUAAUGGCUCACCAAGGCGACGACGGGUAGCCGGCCUGAGAGGGUGACCGGCCACACUGGGACUGAGACACGGCCCAGACUCCUACGGGAGGCAGCAGUGGGGAAUAUUGCACAAUGGGCGAAAGCCUGAUGCAGCAACGCCGCGUGAGGGAUGACGGCCUUCGGGUUGUAAACCUCUUUUAGUAGGGAAGAAGCGAAAGUGACGGUACCUGCAGAAAAAGCACCGGCUAACUACGUGCCAGCAGCCGCGGUAAUACGUAGGGUGCAAGCGUUGUCCGGAAUUAUUGGGCGUAAAGAGCUCGUAGGCGGUUUGUCGCGUCUGCUGUGAAAUCCCGAGGCUCAACCUCGGGCUUGCAGUGGGUACGGGCAGA